UACAGAGGUCCCAAGCGUUGUUCGGAUUCACUGGGCGUAAAGGGUGCGUAGGUGGUCGGGUAAGUCUGAUGUGAAAUCCCGCAGCUCAACUGCGGAAUGGCAUUGGAUACUAUUUGGCUAGAGGGUUGGAGGGGGGGCUGGAAUUCUCGGUGUAGCAGUGAAAUGCGUAGAUAUCGAGAGGAACACCAGUGGCGAAGGCGAGUCCCUGGACAACUCCUGACGCUGAGGCACGAAAGCUAGGGGAGCAAACAGG
rnacentral:rRNA from 1 species